rnacentral:rRNA from 1 species
UGACUUCUGGGAUAAGCUCUGGGAAACUGGGUCUAAUACCGGAUACGACCAAUCUCCGCAUGGGGUCGUUUGGUGGAAAGCGUUAUGGAGUGGUUUUAGAUGGGCUCACGGCCUAUCAGCUUGUUGGUGAGGUAAUGGCUUACCAAGGCGGCGACGGGUAGCCGGCCUGAGAGGGUGACCGGCCACACUGGGACUGAGACACGGCCCAGACUCCUACGGGAGGCAGCAGUGGGGAAUAUUGCACAAUGGGCGCAAGCCUGAUGCAGCGACGCCGCGUGAGGGAUGACGGCCUUCGGGUUGUAAACCUCUGUUAGCAUCGAAUAAGCGAAAGUGACGGUAGGUGCAGAGAAAGCGCCGGCUAACUACGUGCCAGCAGCCGCGGUAAUACGUAGGGCGCGAGCGUUGUCCGGAAUUAUUGGGCGUAAAGAGCUUGUAGGCGGUUGGUCGCGUCUGCUGUGAAAGGCUGGGGCUUAACCCUGGUUUGCAGUGGGUACGGGCUAACUAGAGUGCAGUAGGGGAGACUGGAAUUCCUGGUGUAGCGGUGGAAUGCGCAGAUAUCAGGAGGAACACCGAUGGCGAAGGCAGGUCUCUGGGCUGUAACUGACGCUGAGAAGCGAAAGCAUGGGGAGCGAACAGGAUUAGAUACCCUGGUAGUCCAUGCCGUAAACGUUGGGCACUAGGUGUGGGGGACAUUCCACGUUUUCCGCGCCGUAGCUAACGCAUUAAGUGCCCCGCCUGGGGAGUACGGCCGCAAGGCUAAAACUCAAAGAAAUUGACGGGGGCCCGCACAAGCGGCGGAGCAUGCGGAUUAAUUCGAUGCAACGCGAAGAACCUUACCAAGGCUUGACAUAUACUGGACUGCGUCAGAGAUGGCGUUUCCCUUCGGGGCUGGUAUACAGGUGGUGCAUGGUUGUCGUCAGCUCGUGUCGUGAGAUGUUGGGUUAAGUCCCGCAACGAGCGCAACCCUCGUUCUAUGUUGCCAGCACGUGAUGGUGGGGACUCAUAGGAGACUGCCGGGGUCAACUCGGAGGAAGGUGGGGAUGACGUCAAAUCAUCAUGCCCCUUAUGUCUUGGGCUUCACGCAUGCUACAAUGGCCGGUACAGAGGGUUGCGAUACUGUGAGGUGGAGCUAAUCCCUAAAAGCCGGUCUCAGUUCGGAUUGGGGUCUGCAACUCGACCCCAUGAAGUCGGAGUCGCUAGUAAUCGCAGAUCAGCAACGCUGCGGUGAGUACGUUCCCGGGCCUUGUACACACCCGCCCGUCAAG